rnacentral:lncRNA from 1 species
CACAGCGUUUCGGCCGAUUGAAGCAGGGUCUGAGGAAGGACCCCAGAGGCACACAUCUGCACUGCUCUGAAACUCCAGCAAAAGUGCUUUGGAAAAACUCAGGACUGUGUCCGCUGAUCCCUUCCCCAGUAGCAGGCCUGAUGUAGUCUGACCGGUGAUGAAAACCUGAAAGGCAUGAUUUUUCAAAGAUAAGUUCUGCCAGUUCCUGGUGUGUCUCUGGUUUCUUUCCCGUUGUUCUGUGAGGAAGCUGAAAUACUGAGUCUCUCCUGUGUGUUGCUGGUGCCGGGGGCAGGAUUAAAUACGUGUCACAGCCUAAUCACUGGAGACCAGGUCCCUGACGGGAGGUUGUAGGAAACAUGAUGUGACCCAGCAGCGUGAGGGGCCAGGAGAGGCUGUCAGAUGGAUGUGGCUCAAGUGAAAUGAAGCCGGGGGCGUGAAGCCAGGCGCCCAGUACAAGAGCCAGACGUUCCAACGAAACUCCAAGCAGACACAUCUCACUCCCAGAUUUCCUCCUAUUAUUUACA